rnacentral:misc_RNA from 1 species
GUUAUGCUCUUUAUCUGGUCUGUUUCACUCUCAUCUACAUGUCAUGUAUCUCAGUUGAAACUUUUUUUUUGUUCAUUUAUUUUGUUUCUGUGAUGACAGAGCUGUAUGUAUCGGGGACUUAACUAUGGCUUUAAAUUUUCUCCAACAAGUUCUUUUUGGAUUAAUUGGUUUAAAUGCCCACAAAAAGUGCCUAUAUCUUCCUCUGUUGAACAUUGGAGAAACUAUAAUGUAAUUAGAAUCACAAAAUGCAAUGGAACUUUAUAUUUAUUCUAUUUAUUGGGUGCAAGCUUUCAAAGGAGAGUCUCAUAUGGUGUUUAACCUAAGAGGAUUGUUAUUAGCCAACUAAAAACAUGAAGUGAGGCAAGCACUGGACCUGUGAGAAUCAGAUUUAAAGAUGUUGUCUGGGGGGAAACAAAGAAAGCUCUCUUUAUGCUGUAGAGAUUUAACGAUACAAUGAUACAUAUUUAUGUGCAUGUAAGCAUUCCUUGAACCUAGAACAAGACUAAUGUUGUUACUAUCACAUUAAUUUAUUGCUUGUCUGUUGAGGAAGGGAGAUAAACAGAAGUAUCAAGCAAGAUGAUGAGGAUACACUUCUAUACAAUAGGCUUGAAACCUCUCAAUUAGAAUGAAGUUAUCUGAAUUUCUCUGGUUUAGCAACUGGAAAUAGAAGUAAUCAUUGUCAGGCACCUCUUAACAAACUACUGUUCUCGUUUGCACCCUGAAUGAGAAAUCUACAUGUACCACCCCUCUCAAACUAGAAAUUUAGUAAUUCUGAAGUUCUUAGCUAAGUUCAUUAUGAAACUUUGGAGGGGACUGGGGCCAUUCAUUGUUAGCUGAGUUGGGGGGAUCCUCAUGAUUAAUCUGCUUCUGCUUUUUAAAGAUUUAUUAGGAGAAUGUGUCACAUAAAUCAAGUAAAAACACAAAAUAACAGAAACUAACUACUGAACCUUAUCUAAAUUCUGAAGUUUUUGUUUCUAUGUGGAAGAUACAACUGGUUUCUCUUGAAACUUCCUGUUUUAUUUCUUAAGCAUCUGUAAGUUUUCAUGUUAUUUUCUUCUUCUGUUGGGAUUAUUCUGCUGGUUUAUGCUGAAAAUAUUAGGUAAAAAAGUAAAAACCUGAGAUUUGUUUAUCAUCACCUGCAUUUCACAUUCAAUUGCUUUGCAAAAGGAGUAGGUUGGGGAGAAGACAUCUCUUGAAUGAUUGCUUUCCAUCAAACUAUCAUUUAAUUAUGUUAGAACUUUUACAAGUAUUUGUGAACAUUGCUUAUUCCAGUUGCAGACUUGUAGUUGCAUUCACAAUCUAAGAUUGACAACAAAUGAUGUAACUCUUAGAAGAUGCAUGCACAUUUGUUUGGCAUUUUGUCUGGUAUAACCAAUUUACAUGAUAUCAAUCCCAAAUUAAGUUUUUGUGAUUUUAUAGUUAUGAAGUUUUUAAUUUUUAUCUUACCCUUUUAUUUUGUUUAAAGGCUGGAGAAAAGCGGAAAGAAGAGGAGAUGAUAGAACUUGAGGGGCCCUUAGGUAAGAGUGACGCUGUGAACCGCGAGGUAGCAUCUCUGGAGAGAGAGUUAUCAAUACUCCGCAAGAAUGGCAUUAUUGAUCCCUUUGGCUUGUACUUGUAUGGUCUUGUUCUUAUAGAGAAAGGCAAUCAGAACCUUGCUCGUACAGUUCUUAUGGAAUCUGUGAAUAGCUAUCCAUGGAAUUGGAGUGCUUGGUCAGAGCUGCAGUCUCUGUGCACUACAAUUGAGAUAUUGAAUAGUCUAACCCUUAGUAACCAUUGGAUGAAGGAAUUCUUUCUUGCCAGUGCUUAUCAAGAACUACGGAUGCACAAUGAAUCCCUCACAAAAUAUGAACAUUUGCAAAACACUUUUAGUUUCAGUAAUUACAUACGGGCUCAAAUUGCAAAAGCCCAGUACUGUCUAAGGGAAUUUGAACAAGUUGAAGUAAUAUUUGAAGAACUUUUGAGGAAUGACCCCUAUCGGGUAGAAGAUGUGGAUAUGUAUUCCAAUGUGCUCUAUGCAAAGGAGUGUUUCUCGGCCCUCAGUUACCUUGCCCACAGGGUAUUUAUGACUGAUAAAUACAGACCUGAAUCCUGUUGCAUCAUUGGAAAUUAUUACAGUCUGAAGGGUCAGCAUGAGAAAUCUGUUCUGUACUUUAGGAGGGCACUCAAGUUGAAUAAAAAUUAUUUAUCUGCCUGGACUCUUAUGGGUCAUGAGUAUGUUGAGAUGAAAAACACUCCAGCUGCUAUUGAUGCCUAUCGACGGGCUGUGGAUAUCAAUCCUCGUGAUUAUCGAGCUUGGUAUGGGCUGGGACAAGCAUAUGAGAUGAUGGGCAUGCCCUUCUAUGCUCUUCACUAUUUUAAGAAGUCUGUUUUCUUGCAGUCAAAUGAUUCUCGGUUGUGGAUUGCCAUGGCUCAGUGUUAUGAAACUGAUCAGCUUCACAUGCUUGAGGAGGCAAUCAAGUGUUACAGAAGGGCUGCAAGUUGUAAUGACAGAGAGGCAAUUGCCUUGCACCAAUUAGCAAAGCUCCAUGCUGAGCUUGGACGUUCUGAAGAGGCAGCACUUUACUACAAGAAGGACUUGGAGAGGAUGGAAGCUGAAGAGAGAGAAGGACCAAAUAUGGUUGAAGCUCUGCUGUUUCUUGCCCAACACUGUAGAGAGCAGAAGAGAUUUGAAGAAGCAGAGGUGUAUUGUACCCGUCUUCUGGAUUACACUGGCCCGGAGAAGGAAACAGCAAAGAGUAUGCUUCGAGGAAUGAGAACAGCAGAAUCCAGUUUCCCUUUAAUGGAUAUUGAACAUUUUCAUCCCUGAAUUCAGAUCCUACAAAGCAUGUCUACCUUAUCUCAGUUUCAUGCUUAUCAAAAUCAACUACAAUGAAUUUCUGGGAAUUUGUCAAAUUGUGAUACCUAAAUAUCUCUCUGUAGUUAAAUGUUUUAGAGCUGUUGGCUUCUUUUGUUGUUACUCUCACCUUUUAAGAAAAAAGAAUGUUGUUAUCAAAGCAGAAAAAUUGUCCGAAUGUGGCGUGGUAAUUUCUAGAAUGUAUGGCUGUAAUGUGAUGUAUUAUCAUUCAUGACCCAAUGUCAAUGCUGUAUUCUAUCUAACCUUGCAAUUGACAGUUUUGAUCUG